UUGACUAUAUUACAAUGGAAACACCUGUUCUCGUCUGUUCCCAUAAGUUAAGCAAUAUCGGGUCAGUACAUGUGAGGGUGACCACUUGGGAACACCGGGGGCUGUAGGCU
rnacentral:rRNA from 1 species